UCCAACUAAUAAUUCCGGAGUACGAAUAAUUUAGUACUAUGUGUUAUCCGUAUGGGUGGGUGUGACAGUGUGAGUAUGUAAUUUUAAGGGAAAAAAAAUAUAAUUGAACCGAAUGAGAAGUUUGAAGAUCCAAUCAUGGAAUAUAUAAAUGUAAUUUUAUAUUAUUCCUAUAUAUGGCAUGUAGAGAUAGAAAAAAAAGAAGAGCAUAUCUAAAUGUUGAGAAUAUGAAGGAUCUAGAAUCUAGCUUACUCCAUAUAUACUUGUCUUGUAGGUGUCGCAUACUCCUGUACAGCUAUACUCCUCCCCUAAUUAAUAAAUAAAAUAGAAAUAAAUAAUAAUAAAACAAAACCAACAUAACUUUUCAUUUACGAUGAAGAUUUCUAUACUUGAAGAUAAACAUUUUAUUAUUGAUGCAUGAAAGAUUAAGUUUUUUUAAAAAAAGAGAGGGAGAGAGAGAGAGAGAAACAACAGUUGUAGAACAUGGUGUAGAUGGGCAUAUAUUCUACUACAUGCUGCAGAUUGGAUAGCUGCAGGUUACUUGAAUCUGUAGAAAAACCUCAAAUUCAGCACUCUUUUUUAUGAACGAGAUAACACCAAGAUUAUGACACAACAAAUAUCUGAACUUAGCCUUGAAAGAUAAACAACAUGCACCAUCUAUAAUCUAUAAUUUGCCUGAAAAGGCAAACACCUACUCUAAUUCACAGUCACACAAAUGGAUGUAUUCUCCCUUCUCUCUAUCUCUCUCCAAUCACUCUCUGUUCAAAAACUACAGUUGCACUCGCAGUUGAGCAUUUAAUUAUCUCUUCUCUUAUCUCUUCUCUUACAUGUGGGCCCAUACAUACACCUCUCUUGUGCCAAUUGUCUCAAAUCCCAAUGCACACACUAUCUUAUAAAUCACACACACACAUUCCAACCUUAACCAAGAUCUUCAAAUUCUUGCCAAACAGUAGCUCUUGCACCAGUUGAAAACUUUUCUAAAUUAAAGGAAAUGGAGAGUUUAGCAAAUAAAGCAGAAGAUGCACCAAAAUUCUUCCCAUGUUCAUAUUGUUCAAGAAAGUUCCACAGCUCGCAAGCUUUAGGCGGCCACCAAAACGCCCACAAGAAAGAGAGAAGCGCCGCCGGCAAGAGCAAAAGGGGUGCCUCCGACUACGCUCUAAUGGCGUCGCCGCCACUCAUCAACUAUCCCAUCGGCAUUCAAUACGGUGGCUUCGGAUCUUUCCAAGAGGUGGCGUUGUAUCAUCAAUACAAUGUUGCGCAUGCGCAUGAGCAGAGGAGUAGGGUUAGAUGCAUUGAUGAUUAUUCAGCUCAACCCUAUCCCUAUGUCUAUGGGGAUUAUCAUUAUGAGACCCGCCACAGAGAUCACAACCUUGAUUUGUCUCUGCAUUUGUAGACACAUUUCGUGUUUUCAAUCAAAUAAUAAUACCACUACUCCCCCCAUGAAAUCGCUCA